rnacentral:rRNA from 1 species
GACGAACGCUGGCGGCGUGCUUAACACAUGCAAGUCGAACGGUGAAGCUCCAGCUUGCUGGAGUGGAUCAGUGGCGAACGGGUGAGUAACACGUGAGCAACCUGCCCCUGACUCUGGAAUAAGCGCUGGAAACGGCGUCUAAUACUGGAUACGAGAAGGGUCCGCAUGGGCACUUUCUGGAAAGUUUUUCGGUUGGGGAUGGGCUCGCGGCCUAUCAGCUUGUUGGUGAGGUAAUGGCUCACCAAGGCGACGACGGGUAGCCGGCCUGAGAGGGCGACCGGCCACACUGGGACUGAAACACGGCCCAGACUCCUACGGGAGGCAGCAGUGGGGAAUAUUGCACAAUGGGCGAAAGCCUGAUGCAGCGACGCCGCGUGAGGGAUGACGGCCUUCGGGUUGUAAACCUCUUUCAGCAGGGAAGAAGCGAAAGUGACGGUACCUGCAGAAGAAGCACCGGCUAACUACGUG